CAGGUUCAAGAUCUGAAGCUCAUUUCUCAACACUUCCUUCCAUUUUUCUUGAGGUUCUCUCCACAUUUACAGAUCGGUGCUCUUUAUACAGCUGAUCUUAUUCAUACAUAUCACAGGGUCAUACUAGCACAGUCGUCUGUCUUGCGUACUACAUACAUGUGAUAACUCUCGAUUUUUAUCUUAAAACAUGUCAGCAUUUUAUACCUGCACACUGACAGUGACCAUCCAGUGGAGCAUGCUGGUUCCAUUUUGUUCAAGACUUUACACGUCCUCUGUGUUCACAACAUACAUUUCACUACUAUGUAGCGUACACAGCUGUUCAUACACAGGCUGCCCAUUGGUGAUCAGAAACUCUCACAAUAAUAAAAUAUAUAUCAUUAAUAUCUAGAUUUAAAAUAUUUUAUAAUAAAUUUUAAAAACCUUGAAAUAUUUAUUUCAGGGUUUCCCAAGUCUCAGAACAAGCAAGUCCAGACAGAGGCAUUUACUUCAAAAGAUGCAUCACAGCAAGUUGAGACGCCAGCACUUGUUGACAAUGAAGUUCAAACAGAAGUAGAACCAGUUGUUACUUUAACGCUUGUUGACAAUAAAGUCCAAACAGAGGUGGAGCCAGUUGAUGAUCACUACAUGCAGAUACCACGUUUUGACUGUAAAAGUAUUAUGAAGUCGCAUUCAUCCAAAUUCCGUCCCCUUUGCCCAGCUGUGUCCAAAAUAUUGCAGCUCACAGACUCCGAUAAUGAUUCCAAGAACCUGGUCACAGUUUCAAGAAUCGUUGAAAUCUGCAAUGGAAUAGUAACCUAUUCACCAGAUUUGAAGUUAAUAAGUUGUGCCACAACAGGCGGUGAUUUUGAUUUCAUUGUUCUUCUAAUGUCACAGACAUGACAAGAAUUGGUGAACACACUGUUCUAGCCACAAUUCCUUUCCGCAAGAAAAUAGUUUUCAUUAAUCCAUCAAGUUUCCACAUAAAAUCUCUGGAUUAUA